AUUGAACGCUAGCGACAGGCUUAACACAUGCAAGUCGAGGGGCAGCAAGAAUUGUAGCAAUACAAUUUGUUGGCGACCGGCGCACGGGUGAGUAACGCGUAUGCAACCUACCUAUCAGAGGGGGAUAGCCCGGUGAAAGCCGGAUUAAUACCGCAUAAAACAGGGGUCCCGCAUGGGAAUAUUUGUUAAAGAUUAAUUGCUGAUAGAUGGGCAUGCGUCCCAUUAGAUAGUUGGUGAGGUAACGGCGCACCAAGUCAAUGAUGGGUAGGGGUUCUGAGAGGAAGGUCCCCCACACUGGAACUGAGACACGGUCCAGACUCCUACGGGAGGCAGCAGUGAGGAAUAUUGGUCAAUGGUCGGAAGACUGAACCAGCCAAGUCGCGUGAGGGAAGACAGCCCUAUGGGUUUUAAACCUCUUUUGUAAUGGAAGAAUAAGUCUUACGUGUAGGACGAUGCCAGUACAUUACGAAUAAGCAUCGGCUAACUCCGUGCCAGCAGCCGCAGUAACAC
rnacentral:rRNA from 1 species